AGCCCCGUCCAGAGCGCCCCUUAGCCAAGACCCCACGGGCUAAAGCCACAGGGCUUGUGAGCAGGCCUGAAAGGGCGCCGCGUGACCUUAGACCGAGCUGACUGCAGGUGCUUUCAGCUACUCCGAAAUCACCUGGAGACCACAAAGGUAAGGUGCUCACAGAGACCAGAAGACGGCAUAGAAUCCCCUGGAACUAGAAUUACAGAUGGUUGUGAGUCACCAUCCCCAGGCCACCACGAAGCUGCUGUCUGCCUCCGUGGGCUUCCUGUUCAGAUCAUUCUUGUAAACAGAAUGAUGCACGUGUGCAGUCUUUGGCGGUUCUCUUCUAGCGUAAUGUUCUCAAGAUUUACCCAUGUGCACAGUGAUGCUUUGUUCCUUUUUAUGCUGACUAAUAUUCCGUUGUGCAGGUACACUGCAUUUUGUCUGUCCUUUCACGGGCUGAAUAUUUGAGUUGUAUCUGCUUUGUGGCAGUUAUGAAUAAAGCUGCAGUGAAGACAUGUGA